AACAGAACCCCCAAGCGUUAUCCGGAUUCAUUGGGCGUAAAGCGUCUGUAGCCGGUUUGGCAAGUCUUGGGUUAAAUACCAAGGGCUCAACCUUUGGGAUGCUCAAGAAACUGCCAGACUAGAGGGCGUUAGGGGCUGAUGGAACUCUUGGUGGAGGGGUGAAAUCCGUUGAUAUCAAGAGGAACACCAAAAGCGAAGGCAUUCAGCUGGGGCGACCCUGACGGUGAGAGACGAAAGCGUGGGGAGCAAAAAGG
rnacentral:misc_RNA from 1 species